rnacentral:misc_RNA from 1 species
CAGGAGGAGAAGAUCAUUAAAAGAAGCAAAGAAAAAGAUGGAAAUCAGGAACAUGAAACUUUACAUGAAGAACAAAAGCAUCAUAGAAGAGAAUGAGAAGCUAAGAAAGAAGGCUUUUCUUCUCCACCAAGAGAACCAAGCUUUGUUAUUUCAGCUUCAAAAAAGGUCCUCUAAAUCCCAUGACCAUCUGCUGGCGGCUCUCAUCAACAACAACCACGUACUAUAAUAUGACCAUUUUUACCUCUCUAUAUAUAAAGGUUAAUUAAUUACUUUAUCU